GAGUUGAUCCUGGCUCAGAAUCACGCUGGCGGCGCGCUUAACACAUGCAAGUCGAACGAGAAAGGGGAGCAAUCCCUGAGUAAAGUGGCGUACGGGUGAGUAACACGUGGGUAAUCUGCCUCUGGGUGGGGAAUAACUCUGGGAAACCGGAGCUAAUACCGCAUAAGCCUGAAAGGGGAAAGGCGAAAGUCGCCGAGAGAGGCGCCCGCGGCUGAUUAUCUAGUUGGUGGGGUAAAGGCUCACCAAGGCAAAGAUCGGUAGCCGGCCUGAGAGGGCACACGGCCACACUGGCACUGAAACACGGGCCAGACUCCUACGGGAGGCAGCAGUGGGGAAUCUUGCACAAUGGGGGAAACCCUGAUGCAGCGACAACGCGUGAGCGAUGAAGCCCUUCGGAGUGUAAAGCUCUUUCGGCAGGGACGAUAAUGACGGUACCUGAAGAAGAAGCUGCGGCUAACUACGUGCCAGCAGCCGCGGUAAUACGUAGGCAGCGAGCGUUGUUCGCAGUUACUGGGCGUAAAGCGUGCGUAGGCCGUGGCCCAAGUCUGGUGUGAAAUCUCCCGGCUCAACCGGGAGGGUGCGCCGGAAACUGGGUCGCUCGAGUACUGGAGAGGCAAGCGGAAUUCCUGGUGUAGCGGUGAAAUGCGUAGAUAUCAGGAGGAACACCCGUGGUGUAGACGGCUUGCUGGACAGUCACUGACGCUGAGGCACGAAAGCGUGGGGAGCAAACAGGAUUAGAUACCCUGGUAGUCCACGCCCUAAACGAUGCAUACUUGGUGUGGGCAGUUCAGUCUGUCCGUGCCGAAGCUAACGCGAUAAGUAUGCCGCCUGGGGAGUACGGUCGCAAGGCUGAAACUCAAAGG
rnacentral:rRNA from 1 species